rnacentral:lncRNA from 1 species
GGGGUCAGGAUUUUGGGGUCCCCUCUGUCAAUGGGGUCUGGGUUUUGGGGUCCCCAUGGGCAUUAGGGUGGGGGUCCCAGGUUUUGGGGUCCCCAGGGGCUUUAGGGUCAGGAUUUUGGGGUCCCCUGGGCCAUUGGGAUCCAGGUUUUGGGGUCCCCUGGGGUAUUGGGGUGGGGGUUUUGGGGUGGGGGUUUUGGGGUCCCCUGGAUUUUGGGGUCCCGUACCCAUCUCGGCGCUCCAUGUUUGGGGUGGGGGCGCCCCCAGGAAGCAGUGAGCGGCCGUCAGCACCCAGCGG